AAGUGCUCAAUAAAUGGUAGUUCCUCAUAUUAUUGCCCCAGACUAUUGCUAACCCUUUCCUUCCUGGAAAAGAUGCCAGUAGUACAGGUUCCCCAGCUCAAGGGCGGGUUCUGGAGUGAGAGUCCCAGCUCAAGGGAGGGGCCGGGCUGAGGUUGGGAGAGGCAUUGGGGUAGGGUGGCUGGAGAGUCCACCCUGCCCUAAAGGAAGUAUGAAGGUGGGGUUGGAAAACAGCAAAGGCACCAAACACAGGGGCUAGAAAGAUACAUGCAUGCUUCCAGGGACAGCAAAGUUGAGCCCAGUGCCU
rnacentral:misc_RNA from 1 species